rnacentral:rRNA from 1 species
UAUGUGAUCGUCUCUCGCAUAUCAAUAAGCGGAGGAAAAGAAACUAACAAGGAUUCCCCUAGUAACGGCGAGAUGAAGCGGGAAGAGCUCAAAUUUGAAAUCUUAAAGGGUUUCCCUUUACGAAUUGUAGUUUAAAGAAGUGUUUUCUGUUGAGGUUUUGGUAAAAGUUCUUUGGAAUAGGACAUCAUAGAGGGUGAGAAUCCCGUAUUUGACCUUUACUUUCAACUUUGUGAUACACUUUCAAAGAGUCGGAUUGUUUGGGAAUGCAGUCCAAAAUGGGUGGUAAAUUUCAUCUAAAGCUAAAUAUUGGCGAGAGACCGAUAGCGAACAAGUACCGUGAGGGAAAGAUGAAAAGAACUUUGAAAAGAGAGUUAAACAGUACGUGAAAUUGUCAAAAGGGAAGCGUUUGACACCAGUGUUGUUUUUCUGAAAAUCAAUUAAAGAACUGUUUAUGCUAAGCUGUUUAGACUUUAUCAGCUAUCUGUUUAGUUUUGAGCUUUUCUUUAAUGCACUUUUCAGUUAACAAGUCAACAUCAAUUUCUUUUGCUGUAAAAAAGCUUGAGGAAGGUGGCUUGAGAUUCGUCUUAAGUGUUUAUAGCCUCUUGCCUAUGCAGUCGGAGAGAUUGAGGUCUGCAGCGUAGAUCCUUCGGGGCUAAAUGCAUUUGUGCUAAGUUAUAGCAUUUUAUAGACAACUUGUUGACUAUGAUUUGUCUUGUAGCUUACUCGCUUAUGUUAUUUUACCUACGCUUAGGAUGUUGAUCUGUAGUGCGUGCGC